rnacentral:lncRNA from 1 species
GAGACAGGAAUGUGCUGACCGUGGUGGCUGAGAGGCUACAGGAGGCACUCUUUGAAGGGAAGUUAAAGACAAAGAGGAAGAGGCUGUAUUUCAUUCUCCCAGAUGGCUCCUGCCAGCCUCCAGAGAAAAGGCAGCUUUCUUCUUUAGAAAAUUGGCAGGACAAAAGAAGGAAGUCGACUUGGAAAGUCCAGCGACAGACCUCGUGCCCCUGCUCUGGGAGGCCGCAGGUCAAUGGCUCCCCCUGGCUUCAGGGGACACAGCUCAAGCCUGGAAGGAGC